rnacentral:rRNA from 1 species
AUUGGGUUCCGGCAUUGGAAUGAGAACAAUAUAAAUCUUUUAACGAGGAUCUAGUGGAGGGCAAGUCUGGUGCCAGCAGCCGCGGUAAUUCCAGCUCCGCAAGUGUAUAUCUAUGUUGCUGCGGUUAAAAAGCUCGUAGUUGGAUCUGCGUGUUUAGCGUCCGGUUCGACUUUUGGUCGUUACUGGAACGCGACACAGAUGUGCUGGUUUGCCGUUGAUGCUCUUAACCGGGUGUCAGUGGCGGCUAGCGAGUUUACUUUGAAAAAAUUAGAGUGCUCAAAACAGGCGUUUCGCCUGAAUAUUUCUGCAUGGAAUAAUAGAAUAGGACUUCGAUUCUAUUCUGUUGGUUUUCGGAAUGCGAAGUAAUGAUUAAGAGGGACAGACGGGGGCAUUCGUACUGCGACGUUAGAGGUGAAAUUCUUGGAUCGUCGCAAGACGUACUACUGCGAAGGCAUUUGCCAAGAAUGUUUUCAUUAAUCAAGAACGAAAGUUAUGGGUUCGAAGGCGAUCAGAUACCGCCCUAGUCAUAACCGUAAACGAUUCAAACUGGGCGCCCGACGGUGUUUUUAUUGACCCGUCGGGAACCCUCCCGGAAACGAAAGUGUUCGUGUUCCGGGGGAAAUAUGUCUGCAAAGAGGAAACUUAAAGGAAUUGACGGAAGGGCACCACCAGGGGUGGAGCCUGCGGCUUAAUUUGACCCAACACGGGGAAACUCACCCGGCCCGGACACCGUAAGGAUUGACAGAUUGAGAGCUCUUUCUUGAUUCGGUGGGUGGUGGUGCAUGGCCGUUCUUAGUUGGUGGAGUGAUUUGUCUGGUUUAUUCCGAUAACGAACGAGACUCUGGCCUGCUAACUAGUGUUCACAUCUUUACGUGUGCUUCGCUUCUUAGAGGGACAGGCGGCUUCCAGCCGCAUGAAGAAGAGCAAUAACAGGUCUGUGAUGCCCUUAGAUGUCCGGGGCUGCACGCGCGCUACACUGAAAGAAUCAGCGUGUACGUUACCUGGCUCGAAAGAGUCGGGUAAUCCGGUGAAAAUCUUUCGUGAUUGGGAUCGGGACUUGCAAUUAUUUCCCUUGAACGAGGAAUCCCUAGUAAGUGCGGGUCAUCAGCUCGCGCUGAUUACGUCCCUGCCCUUUGUACACACCGCCCGUCGCUGCCCGGAACUGAGCCGUUUCGAGAAAAAUGGGGACUGUCUACUUGAGGUCUUCACGGACUUUUUGUAAAUGGAAACCGCUU